GAGAGAGAGAGAGAGAGAGAAAGCAAUUCCCAUAUUGCAAUCUACUGUAUAGAACCAGUAAGAAUGAGAGAGAGAGCGAUUGGACAAGAGAGACCCACUCAUAGUUGAAGAAUGGAGAACAGAGGUUGGUGGCACUUUGGAGCAAGAAACACUAUUGGCUUCGGAUUGAGAAUGGCCAUUCAAUAGAAGAGAAAAAGAAAAGAAUGUUUUAUUACCGGGACCUUAAUAUGGAUGGAUAGAUUUUACCUGGAAGUCACAUACGGGACGCCACAUGUCGAACUAAAGAUUUACAAAUUCCGGAAAGCAUUCUGGAGGUGAAACGUUUGUUUAUCAUUGAUAAUAGCGAAGAUACUGAACUCCCCGGACUGCACCAGCGAGGGGAGCAUGAUGUUGCAAAACUUCGCCAGACGGGAAAGGCAGAGAGGAAUGGGGAGGGGCGGAGGAGAAGAGGUGUGGAGAACAGCAGGAGGGGGGAGAAAGCGAGCCGGAGAGGUAGAGAGUUAGAGAGUCUGCAUUUCAAGUGCUCAACAGUGACCUUAGAAUCUCCUUCUAUGUGUCUCUCUCUCUUACUCACUCACUCUGCAUUAAAGUACAAUGCUACAUUUCUUCAGACCUUUAGCAUCCCAGGAACAACUACAAGAGUGUCUGCAGGAGGAUGCAGCCCUUCCUACCUCUGUUUCUCUUUUGCUUCCUCUUAUUCUACAACUUUAUGAUGCAUGGAAUGUGACGGGAAGGAGAAGUUUGGACUAAUGUUCAGGACAGGCUUCACUUCACUACCACAGAAUGGUACUUUAACAUUUAAGAACAAAGACUUGUUGUUUGAUGGUUCAAAACUGGGAACUGAUUCAGGUGUUUGCCCCAGAAGAAAGAAAGCUUAAUGGGUUUUGAACAUCAUGGGGGUGAGUAACUGAUUUUCAUUUCAACAGAAUUUUCUAUCCUUUAUUAAGCUAAUAUUUUAAGUGAAAAUUCAAAUAUUUUUAGGGAAAAGUAAAAAAACAAAACAAAAAAAACACAGAAACAAAAAGCCUUUUUCUGUGUUUUUAUUGAAAAAAAAAAAACAAUCAGUGAUGCAGCUCAUUGUAAUGGUUCAGCGCAAGCAUAUGUAUUUAAAGUAGGCCAGGGUUAGACCUUACUAAAACAGAGGCAUGCAUGAUGGAAAAAUGCAUGAAAAAUACAAAAAAAACUGGUCCCCAAGCCAUUCCAACCAGCCUCGCUGGACUGCUGUGAUUGAUUAUGUCCAUUUACAUGUAAUGCUUGUAUGAUCUUGAUGUGUAGGCAAAUGCAUUAAGGAAAACAUCAAGGCAGUACAAUCAACAAUAUGGUAUCAUGGUUACAUAUCUGUGCUAUAAUUGACCUAUAGUGUAUAUAAUUAUAAUUACAAAAUUAUUAACAGAUAAUCAGGGAUUUAGAAUCAUGUUGCCUGGCGAUGAAGGCAAUUCAACCUAUGAAUGACAACCAUUAAUGCACCAGCCAUAAAAAUCACUGUGUUCCACAGUCUAUCUUUCAGAAGACGGCUUAAUGUUAACUGCUGUGCAGCAAAUCAAAUUAUAAGCUUUAUGGUUAUGUUUUAUCCUUUUGGAGUGUCUUUGUGUCACUCACAUUAUUAUAUCUA